GCUUNGACGGGUAGCNGGCCUGAGAGGGCGACCGGCCACACNGGGACNGAGAUANGGCCCAGACUCCUACGGGAGGCAGCAGUGGGGAAUAUNNCACAAUGGGCGGAANCCUGAUGCAGCAACGCCGCGUGCGGGAUGACGGCCUUCGGGUUGUAAACCNCUUUCAGCUCCGACGAAGCGGAAGNGACGGUAGGGGCAGAAGAAGCACCGGCCAACUACGUGCCAGCAGCCGCGGUGAUACGUAGGGUGCGAGCGUUGUCCGGAAUUAUUGGGCGUAAAGGGCUUGUAGGCGGUUGGUCGCGUNNGGAAGNGAAAUCUCAUGGCUUAACNNNGGNUNNNCUUCCGAUACGGGCUGACUAGAGGGAUGCAGGGGAGAACGGAAUUCCUGGUGGAGCGGUGGAAUGCGCAGAUAUCAGGAGGAACACCGGUGGCGAAGNCGNUUCUNUGGNCAUUUCCUGACGNUGAGAAGCGAAAGCGUGGGGAGCAAACAGGNUUAGAUACCCUGGUAGUCCACNCCGUAAACGGUGGGCACUAGGUGUGGGGCUCAUUCCACGANCUNUGUNCCGUAGCUAACGCAUUAAGUGCCCCGCCUGGGGAGUACGNCCGCAAGNCUAAAACUCAAAGGAAUUGACGGGGGCCCGCACAAGCGGCGGAGCAUNCGGAUUAAUUCGAUGCAACNCGAAGAACCUUACAAUCACU
rnacentral:rRNA from 1 species